AUUGAACGCUGGCGGCAUGCUUUACACAUGCAAGUCGAACGGUAACAGGCCUUCGGGUGCUGACGAGUGGCGAACGGGUGAGUAAUGCAUCGGAACGUGCCCAGAGGUGGGGGAUAACGCAGCGAAAGCUGUGCUAAUACCGCAUGUGAUUUGAGGAUGAAAGCGGGGGACCAGGCAGCAAUGUUUGGCCUCGCGCCUUUGGAGCGGCCGAUGUCAGAUUAGGUAGUUGGUGGGGUAAAGGCCUACCAAGCCGACGAUCUGUAGCUGGUCUGAGAGGACGACCAGCCACACUGGGACUGAGACACGGCCCAGACUCCUACGGGAGGCAGCAGUGGGGAAUUUUGGACAAUGGGCGCAAGCCUGAUCCAGCAAUGCCGCGUGCGGGAAGAAGGCCUUCGGGUUGUAAACCGCUUUUGUACGGAACGAAAAGGCUCUGGCUAAUACCUGGGGCUGAUGACGGUACCGUAAGAAUAAGCACCGGCUAACUACGUG
rnacentral:rRNA from 1 species